UAUAAACCGGGGGAAAGCGGUGCCGAGAUCGUUUUCUUCGGGACUUGGUCAUCUUUAAAGUAACAGUUUCGCUUGGUGGUUUAGAAUCUAGGCUUUGGAGUCAGACCUAGGUUAAGUCCUACUCUGACACCAUCUGCGUGAUCUUGAACAAGUUUUUUAACCUGAAUUCAGUAGUAAAAUGAGGAUAACUACGGAACCCCUUCCGGGUUGUUGGGAAGAUUAGAUGUAGACUUUCAACACAAUGCCUGGCACAGUAAGCUUCCCAAAAUGAUAGCAGCUGGUAGUAAUAAUGUGUCAAUCAAGAGAGACCCAGAGAUGAUGGAUCUGGCUUUCCUUUGGACAGAGCCUUAGGUUUGAGAGGAGAACACCUGCAUUCAAACGCUCACUUGCUGUGUGAGCUCAGGCAAAGGCAGCGCCUGGUACCAAGACCAACUGUGAUCCUGGCUGAAAGAGGGGUGCUUAAGAAAGCACAGAAAGAAUGGAAAGCCCGGACCCAAGAGUGAGGAGCAGCAGGCAGUUUAUAGAUGAGACAACGAAGGCAUGGAGAUGUUAAGUAACCUGUUCAAGGCGACAAGAACGAAAGCAGUGUCUGAGCUGAGGGAGGUGUUCUUCUCAGUGUUUGGGGCUGUUCGGACCACAUCUGGAGCCUGUGCCCACUUCCGGACACCACCGAGGGAACUGGAGCCAGGGUGUGGCCAGAUUGGAGGGAAGGGCUAGGAACCCUAUCAUGGAAGAAAUGCUGAGAGGGAGGCCAAUGCAGAAGGUUCGUGAUCAAGGUGCCAAUCUCCAAAGGACUUGUGGGGCGGCGGGCACAGAGGUGGGCUGCAGCCUUUGUGUUCUCACUGAGCUGGAGAUCCACGGCAGCCUCACUGGGCAGGGUUUCUUCUCCCUUCAGAUCACCAGGCCCAGGUCUACACUCAUGGCCUUCUCUCGUGGCCCCACGUCUCUCUGGAGUGGAAGACAGAAGUGGCCACAGGAUGAGAAUCUGACCCAAGGUCCACGCUUCUGGGACAGGAAUGCACCAAAGACCCUGCAGGGAAGCAAAUUCAAGUUGUCAUGGGGCCCACGCUGGCAAUGCAAACAAGUGAAGCUAGUUGGGCACUGGCCUUUUAAAUGUACAGAAAUAGUUUCACGUCCACAGAUAAAUAUGUUGAGCCUAUUUUCCUUACAACAAAUGACUUGGUCUUUUAUUUUUCCUUUUUGA